CUCCCACCCAGAGUGUCUGCUACUGGUUUUAACCUUUCAAAACAGUCACCCAGUGCUUCCAGGUGGUUAGCCCUCCUUUCUCCCUGAUUCCUUGCCUGCUGUGUUCUUCUAGGAUGGACACUCAUGAACUCUCCCUUCCUAUCCCUCUUGCAAAGGAAGAAGUUUUAAGGUGCUUGUGAUUCAGUUUGACAAUGAGCUUGUGUAUGUGACUCAUCUCAGGAGUGACAAGUGGUUUCCUUUCCUCUUUUCUUAAAAUAACUUAUUUGGACAAGAAGAAAAAAAGUUCAAGUCCGUAAGAGUUGGAAGAGCACUUGCUCGGUCUUCUCCCUGGAGGAGCGAAGGGAGAGGAGGACGUGCCACCCAGGUCCUGGGUUUGAUGAGAACUAGGGCACGCUGCCAUCCUGAAUGUGCCCUGGGAUCCACUGACUGAGCCUUGUCAAUUUCAAGGGUAGGAGAGACUUACACUUGUAUCUAGUCAACAGUCCUAACUGGAGGGUGACGAAGUUGAAACCAUACAAUCUUAUCUGUAAAAUGGGGACACCAAACUGGACGAUUUCUGAGGUCCUUUUGGUUUGACUACUUGGUUUAGUUCAAUGGUUUGGCUUUAAGAGGAGAACAGAAAUUUACAUUUUACCAAAGAAAUUCCCAUUUCUUUGAUUUAUUUAUUUAUUUUUUUAGGGCUGCACCUGUGGCAUAUGGGAGUUCCCAGGUUAGGGGUCGAAUUGGAGCUGUAGCUGCCAGCCCACCUACACCACAGCACAGCCACAGCAACGCGGGAUCUGAGCCUCGUCUUCGACCCACAGCAUAGCUCGCAGCAACGCUGGGUCCUUAACCCAAUGAGUGGGGUCUGGGAUCGAACCCACACCCUCAUGGACACUAGUCGGGUUUGCUUCCACCGAGUCACAAGGGGGACUUCUUACCAAGCUAUUUCUGAUCCACAUGGCCUUGUAUCUUACAUUCAUAAAAUGGAUAUAUGAACCUUGAACUUCAAGGCACAGCUAUAUUAUCUACUUGUUAAUGGUAAUGUAAUGCAGCCUCAAAGCCUACUGUUUUGACAAUCAAAACCUCAAUUAUUACAGAAAUACUUGCUGAGAAACUAUGUAGCCAGCACUGUGUAGAGGUGAUCCUCCUCUUCCUAUUUGCAAUAAAGUUGGAAAGGAGAGGGAGAGAGUCAUGUACAUGAGAAAAUAACACAUGGAAAAGGUAUUGAAUGCCAAGAACGAGGGAAAAAUUGAGUGUGGUAGGACCCAUGGAGCAAUGGAUAGCAGCUCGUGACCUGUAAGAAUGGAGAAGCUGACUCAGGAAGUGAGCCCUAGAGAAUGAAAAGUGUCUGAAAUAGUCUGACUCAUUGAAACAGGGUAGAAUGGUGGUGGCCAGGGCCUGGGGGAGGGGAAAUGGGAAGUUAUUCAAUGGGUAUAAAGUUUCAGUUAGGCAAGGUGAAUCCAGUUCUAGAGUCCAUGGUGCUACAUAGCAAACAAUACUGUGUAAUUCCUGUAACAAUUUGUUAGAAGGGUAGAUCUCAGGUUAGCCCUUUUUACAACAGCAACAGCACAGCAACAACAAAACACAGAGGCACCUGGAAACUUUCAGAGGUGCUGGGUAUGUCUGUUACCUUGAUUGUGAUGAUAGUUUCACCAGUAUGUGCCUAUGUCCAAACUCAUCAAAUUGCAUACAUUAAAUAUGUGCAGUUUUGUAUAUUAAUUAUUUCUCAAUAAAGCUGUUUUUGUUUUUUUUUAAAGAAAUGAAGAGAGUGAGAGAGAGAAUGGAGGAAGUAAUCCCAGGUGGAGAGAUCCUAUGAGCAAUGGCUGGAGGGUGAAAACAUGGGGCUUAUUUAGGAAGCUGCAGCUAUCCCAGUGCAGCAAAACCAGAAUAAGGGCAGUAGGUGGUAGAAAUAUUGGUAAGAAAUUAAAUGUAGGGCAGAUUAAGGAGGACCUUGCAAAUCAAGUAGAUUCAGAUACAUAAAAAAAUAAGAAAAUGACUUGAUUAGAUUUGUAUUUAAUAAUAAUCUACUGACUAUUAACAAGGGAAGUGAUUUGGGUGAGACUGGAGGCAGGGAGACCAGUUUUUUAUAACCACAGCAUCCCUACGAGGCAGGUUUUCCAAGGAAGCUCUGAUUCCAAAUAGACCUUUUAUUUGUUUCCUUGUGUGCUUGUCACAUGCCCUGAUUUUGGCUUCAAAAUAUAAAAUCCUGAAUCACAGAUGGUGUGAUUGCUAAUCUUGUAGGUAGGUACUGAUUGAUGUGUUUCCCAGGCAAUUUGUGCCUUUAACAGGGGCCACCUGGGAGGAGAUGCCCUUGUGCAAAGAGGGUGGGCAUGUGAAGCAUGGUACAGGCUGCUGGGGGAGGUGGAUACCGGCUUUUCCUGCCCCUCAAAUUCACCAUGCCAACUGCCACACAUUUCAAAAACAGGGCCCCUUUUCUCCAUGUGGAUCAGGCCAUUUUACCUUCAACCAGCUCCACCUUUCACCCUGCUGCUCACACCUGCCUCAGGCUCUUUUUAUUUUCUACCUCCUGUUGUAGUUGUAUGUGUCUUCACUGGAUGAGUGCUCUUUUAGGGUUUGCUGAGACUGUGGUUCAUUUGGUAUAUGUCAUUCAGUUUUUGUGGAGUCACAGAAUCUCAGACUGUAAAGGACCGUAAAGAUAAUCCAUUCUAAUGGUGCCCUUAGACAUCAUAGACCAUGUCUGGAUGAUUUGCAUGGAUAGAUGAGUGGGUAGAUGGAGGGAUGGUGAAAUGGAAAGGUAGGUAAACGAAUGGAUGGGUCGAGUUCCCAUUGUGGCUCAGUGGUAAUGAACCCAACUAGUGUCCAUGAGGACAUGGCUUUGCCCUCAGUGGGUUAAGGAUCUGGUGUUGCCAUGAGCUGUGGUAUAGGUUGGUGUAGGUCAUAGCUUCAAUUCAACCUCUAGUCUGGGAACUUUCAUAUGUGGGUGUGGCCUUAAAAAAAGCAAAAAAAAAAAAAAA
ensembl:lncRNA